UUCGAUAUGGAUGAAGUACCUAGCCUUGUUUCAUUGUUUCACUUUGUGAUGAAUUUAGCUAAUGGAUAAUUGUAAGUCAUUAAGCAUAUAUUUUGUAUUGAUUUAAAUGAUCAUAAUAUAUAUGCAAUUGUGUUUAAUGAAUUGAUGUGUAAAUGAAAAUGUAUGUGUAUGGAAUGAUGCCAUUGUUGAAUGUAUAAAGGCAGCAAAAUGCAUAAGGUAUUGGUCACGGCACUAAGUGUGCGGGUAUAAAUGGAGACGGUGACAAGAUUGGCACUAAGUGUGCGGGUAUAAAAUUGUACAGCACUAAGUGUGCGAGUUUGAUUCUAUAGCACUUAGUGUGCGAGCUGAAAAUAUAUAGCACUAAGUGUGCGGAUUCACUAUAUGCUCUUGUAUUACAAUUGGCACUGAGUGUGCGACAUUAUCGAGUUAAUCCCGGACAGCGAAUCGGGUAAGUACCUUGAGCUCAUGACGAAUAGACAAUAUGUUCAUGCUCGGGGUUGAGCUUGGUAAGCUUUAAAUCUAUGUGAUGAUUGCAAUUGUGUGAUUGUGGUGAAAAUGAGUUAGUGUGUGAAAAUGCCUCAAAUAUCUUAUCGUAUAAAUAUGAAAUGUGGAUGUAUGGCUUGGUAUGAGAUUGAACCGAAAGGUCCGAGGAAUUAUGGUAUAGUUCCGAUAUGGAUGAAGUACCUAGCCUUGUUUCAUUGUUUCACUUUGUGAUGAAUUUAGCUAAUGGAUAAUUGUAAAGUGCUUAUGACUUACUGAGUUAUAAACUCACUCGGUGUUUUCUUGUCACCCAUUUUAGGUCUCGUGGACUCGUAUUGUUGCGUGCUCGGAACCGUCGUUGAAGUCAUCACACCGGCUGAAAUAUUUUGGUAUUGUCUUCGUUGUUGAAGAACAAUUGGCAUGUAUAGGCUAUUAUAUUUUGUUGAACUGUGGGUUGUAAACUUUAAGCCAUGUGAAAAUGGCCUAUGUGGUCGUCGAGUGGGAUGCUAGAACCUAUAGCCACGAGUCUUAGAAACUUUAAUUUUGAUAAGGUGGCCAUAAUUUGUGUCAUGUUUGAUGGAUGAUUAAGGCCAAGGAAAGAUUCAUGAAA